rnacentral:rRNA from 1 species
CACGUAGGGUGCGAGCGUUUGUCCGGAAUUAUUGGGCGUAAAGAGCUCGUAGGCGGUGUGUCGCGUCGGCCGUGAAAACCUGCAGCUUAACUGUGGGCUUGCGGUCGAUACGGGCAUCACUGGAGGUUCGGCAGGGGGAGACUGGAAUUCCUGGUGUAGCGGUGAAAUGCACAGAUAUCAGGAGGAACGACCGGUGGCGAAGGGCGGGUC